rnacentral:piRNA from 1 species
UCAUCUUCUCGGAGCUGCUGUCCAACCUGU